CCACGAUUUACUUGGAGACAUGACUCCAUUCUCAAUUUUGUCGCAAAAAUAUUCCAACCUGAACACAACUCCACGCUAUUUGUUGAUCUUCCUGGAUACAAGAGCCCAUCAAUAAUAACCGGUGACACUUAUCGCCCAGAUCUGCUUCUUUCGAUUUCAAAUGAUUGUCUGUACAUACUCGAACUCUCUGUCGGAUAUGAAUCCAAUCUCCAAAACAACGUUGAUCGCAAAAGGGAAAGAUACAAG